rnacentral:lncRNA from 1 species
CACGCAGCCACCACGGGGCGGGGCGGCUCUGCCAGCGUCGCGCUGGGCCGGGCGGGCUGGGCCGCGCCGCAGCGCCGGCGGCUGAUUCGGAGGCGGCGGCGGGGGAUGGACGAGGGUACCUGCGGCGGCCAUCGGCGACGGGCGGCCCAGCGGCUGGUGAUUGCAGGGUGCCAUAAGCGUGGUGUUUCCAGAGGGAUGUACCUAGACAGGAGAUGAAAGACAGGCUCUGUAAUGCUGCAUUCAUCUCGUUUAAAUUGCUGUCCAUGUUGGGAGGUGUUACAGCGAACAGAUAGCACGCUUGCAUCUGUUAUUCCUGUUACUGUUUUUCUCUUCAUUUGAUUCCAAGACCGUUUAGUUUUAUUUAUCUUUAUCUGGGGUUUGUUUUGCUAAGGUCUCAGUAACACAUUGUGCUACUGUGUAAAAUCGAAUGCUCCGUAAUUCACUGGCAACACAGCGAGGCUCUUAACUGCACAGGCUUUCAGUGGUGCUGCUAAUAACUUGCCGAGGGUGGUGAUGUGAGUUGAUUUCCAGCCUGUUCCUGGUCUCUAAUUGCCAUACAGACCAUCUUUACACUGCAUUUGUUACCAGUUCUAAAGUCAGUUUAUAUAUGUUUGGGGAAAGGGUGGGUUAAGGGGGACAGAGAUAUCUUUGCUUUGCUUCUUCUGUUUUGAUCAUCUGCAAGGCCAUAAAAAAAUUAAAAUUACUUUGGCGGUGGGGGGGAUUUGGAAUGAAAUGCUGUCGUGACAUGAGGUUGCCUUGUGGGCAAAGAUUUUCACAUGCUCAGCACAGCUCUACAAAAAUACCCCGACUCCUGUUACACAGGGAAGAACUGAGCUGAUACUUCCUUUUUCUCUGUUAUGGUAACUUUCGUAUUUCUGUAACAUGUAAGGAAGACUGUUACAUCAGCAAUAUACUUUUUAAAAGUAAUUUUAAAAAUAAACCUUGAAAAUUUAAGUCUCUUUUCUACUCU